CCUACAUGAAGCUGGAAUCGCUAGUAAUCGCGGAUCAGCAUGCCGCGGUGAAUACGUUCCCGGGCCUUGUACACACCGCCCGUCACACCACGAGAGUUUGUAACACCCGAAGUCGGUGAGGUAACCUUUUGGAGCCAGCCGCCUAAGGUGGGACAGAUGAUUGGGGUGAAGUCGUAACAAGGUAGCCGUAUCGGAAGGUGCGGCUGGAUCACCUCCUUUCUAAGGAA
rnacentral:rRNA from 1 species